rnacentral:lncRNA from 1 species
AGUAAACAAAAGUGGCUGGGUGAGAGCAAGUCUUGAGGACUUCACUGCCAAGAGAAUACAACCAGAAAGAUUUCUGUUUCCCUAUCAAGGGGAUAAAGAAUCCAGAAGCUACAGACAGAAUGGAAAGUAACCUGAAUGUAUUCACAGAGAAGGACUUCAGUGGAACAAAGAAAAAUCUUUUAUAUGCCUUUAAAAUUCUACCCAUGGGUCAAGACUCCAAACAAUGAGCUUUAUAGCAGCCUACCCCACAAGCACUCUCUAUACUAUUGUUUUCGAAUGUUAUUGCUGACAAUGGCCAGUGAGAGGGUCAGGUGGGAGAAUCUUGAUGGAAAUGUAUCAUCAGGAACUGGGCAAUGACAGUCAUGUUUUUUACUGAGACCUAAAACAAUGACCAGACUGAAUGCUUGAAGAUCAGACUGGAGGAUGGUACUGGGAUCACUACUGAAAAGUGAAAACUCCUACGGGAA